CAGUCGCCACGGGAAUACGAAGGGUGCAAGCGUUACUCGGGACUACUGGGCGUAAAGCGUGCGUAGGUGGUGGUUUAAGUCCGUUGUGAAAGCCCUGGGCUCAACCUGGGAAUUGCAGUGGAUACUGGGUCACUAGAGUGUGGUAGAGGAUAGUGGAAUUUCCGGUGUAGCAGUGAAAUGCGUAGAGAUCGGAAGGAACAUCUGUGGCGAAGGCGACUACCUGGACUGAUACUGACACUGAGGUGCGAAAGCGUGGGGAGCAAACAGGAUUAGAUACCCCGGUAGUCCCUGUCUCUUAUAC
rnacentral:rRNA from 1 species